rnacentral:rRNA from 1 species
AUUGAACGCUGGCGGCAGGCCUAACACAUGCAAGUCGAACGAGUGGCGGACGGGUGAGUAAUGUCUGGGCAUCUGCCUGAUGGAGGGGGAUCACUACUGGAAACGGUAGCUAAUACCGCAUAACAUCAGAUGUGCCCAGAUGGGAUUAGCUAGUUGGUGGGGUAACGGCUGACCAAGGCGACGAUCCCUAGCUGGUCUGAGAGGAUGACCAGCCACACUGGAACUGAGACACGGUCCAGACUCCUACGGGAGGCAGCAGUGGGGAAUAUUGGACAAUGGGCGAAAGCCUGAUGCAGCCAUGCCGCGUGUGUGAAGAAGGUCUUCGGAUUGUAAAGCACUUUCAGUGGGGAGGCGUUACCCGCAGAAGAAGCACCGGCUAACUCCGUGCCAGCAGCCGCGGUAAUUC